rnacentral:rRNA from 1 species
GAAACCCUGACGCAGCAACGCCGCGUGGAGUAUGACACUUUUCGGAGCGUAAACUCCUUUUCUUAGGGAAGAAUUCUGACUGUACCUAAGGAAUAAGCACCGGCUAACUCCGUGCCAGCAGCCGCGGUAAUACGGAGGGUGCAAGCGUUACUCGUAAUCACUGGGCGUAAAGGGCGCGUAGGCGGAUUAUCAAGUCUCUUGUGAAAUCUAAUGGCUUAACCAUUAAUCUGCUUGGGAAACUGAUAGUCUAGAGUGAGGGAGAGGCAGAUGGAAUUGGUGG